rnacentral:rRNA from 1 species
CAGUAGCCACGGUAAUACGGAGGGUGCAAGCGUUAUCCGGAUUUAUUGGGUUUAAAGGGUCCGUAGGCGGACUUAUAAGUCAGUGGUGAAAGCCUGUCGCUUAACGAUAGAACUGCCAUUGAUACUGUAAGUCUUGAGUAUAUUUGAGGUAGCUGGAAUAAGUAGUGUAGCGGUGAAAUGCAUAGAUAUUACUUAGAACACCAAUUGCGAAGGCAGGUUACCAAGAUAUAACUGACGCUGAGGGACGAAAGCGUGGGUAGCGAACAGGAUUAGAUACCCGAGUAGUCCCUGUCUCUUAUAC